rnacentral:rRNA from 1 species
UCAGGAUGAACGCUAGCGGCAGGCUUAACACAUGCAAGUCGAGGGGUAGAAAUAGCUUGCUAUUUUGAGACCGGCGCACGGGUGCGUAACGCGUAUGCAAUCUGCCUUUUGCAAAGGGAUAGCCCAGAGAAAUUUGGAUUAAUACCUUAUAGUAUAUUGAUGUGGCAUCACAUUAUUAUUAAAGAUUUAUCGGCAAAAGAUGAGCAUGCGUCCCAUUAGCUAGUUGGUAAGGUAACGGCUUACCAAGGCAACGAUGGGUAGGGGUCCUGAGAGGGAGAUCCCCCACACUGGUACUGAGACACGGACCAGACUCCUACGGGAGGCAGCAGUGAGGAAUAUUGGACAAUGGGCGCAAGCCUGAUCCAGCCAUGCCGCGUGCAGGAUGACGGCCCUAUGGGUUGUAAACUGCUUUUAUACGGGAAGAAACCCUGNUACGUGUAGCAGACUGACGGUACCGUAA